rnacentral:rRNA from 1 species
UACGUAGGUGGCAAGCGUUGUCCGGAUUUACUGGGCGUAAAGAGCGCGCAGGCGGUCGUUCAAGUCGGCUGUGAAAACCCCCGGCUCAACUGGGGAGGGUCACGCGAUACUGAUCGACUCGAAGGCAGGAGAGGGAAGUGGAAUUCCCGGUGUAGUGGUGAAAUGCGUAGAUAUCGGGAGGAACACCAGUGGCGAAGGCGACUUCCUGGCCUGUUCUUGACGCUGAGGCGCGAAAGCUAGGGGAGCAAACGGG